rnacentral:rRNA from 1 species
AAAGGCAUUCCUUAGUACGGCGAGUGAACCGGGAAGAGCUCAAAUUUGAAAUCUGGCUGUCUUCGAUAGUCCGAGUUGUAAUCUAUAGAAGCGUUUUCCGUGCUGAACUGUGUCUAAGUCCCUUGGAACAGGGUAUCAAAGAGGGUGACAAUCCCGUACUUGACACAAUCAUCAGUGCUCUGUGAUACGCUCUCUACGAGUCGAGUUGUUUGGGAAUGCAGCUCAAAAUGGGUGGUAAAUUCCAUCUAAAGCUAAAUAUUGGCGAGAGACCGAUAGCGAACAAGUACCGUGAGGGAAAGAUGAAAAGCACUUUGGAAAGAGAGUUAAACAGUACGUGAAAUUGUUGAAAGGGAAACGAUUGAAGUCAGUCGUGUUCAUUGGAUUCAGCCGGUCUUCGGUGUACUUCCUUUGAACGGGUCAACAUCAGUUUUGCCCGGUGGAUAAAGGCAGUAGGAAUGUGGCCUCUUCGGAGGUGUUAUAGCCUAUUGUCACAUACACUGGGGGAGACUGAGGACUGCAGCUCGCCUUUUGGCCGGGGUUCGCCCACGUUCGAGCUUAGGAUGUUGACAUAAUGGCUUUAAACGACCCGUCUUGAAACACGGGAMCACUAA